CUACGGGCCGCAGCAGUGAGGAAUUUUGCGCAAUGGGGGCAACCCUGACGCAGCAACGCCGCGUGAGUGAAGAAGGCCUUUGGGUCGUAAAGCUCUGUCAACUGGGAAGAAGUUAGUAUGUAUAAAUAGUGCGUACUAUUGACGGUACCAGUGGAGGAAGCGUCGGCUAACUCCGUGCCAGCAGCCGCGGUAACACGGGGGACGCAAGCGUUAUUCGGAAUUAUUGGGCGUAAAGGGCGCGUAGGCGGUCUUGUCGGUCAGAUGUGAAAGCCCAGGGCUCAACCCUGGACGUGCAUUUGAAACAGCAAGAAUCGAGUACGGGAGAGGAAAGCGGAAUUCCUGGUGUAGAGGUGAAAUUCGUAGAUAUCAGGAGGAACACCGAUGGCGAAGGCAGCUUUCUGGACCGAUACUGACGCUGAGGCGCGAAGGCGUGGGUAGCGAACGGGAUUAGAUACCCCGGUAGUC
rnacentral:rRNA from 1 species